GACGAACGCGGCGGCGUGCCUAAUACAUGCAAGUGGGACGCAAGGGAACACACUGUGCUUGCACACCGUGUUUUCUUGAGUCGCGAACGGGUGAGUAACGCGUAGGUAACCUGCCUAUUAGCGGGGGAUAACUAUUGGAAACGAUAGCUAAUACCGCAUAAUAUUAAUUAUUGCAUGAUAAUUGAUUGAAAGAUGCAAGCGCAUCACUAGUAGAUGGACCUGCGUUGUAUUAGCUAGUUGGUAAGGUAAGAGCUUACCAAGGCGACGAUACAUAGCCGACCUGAGAGGGUGAUCGGCCACACUGGGACUGAGACACGGCCCAGACUCCUACGGGAGGCAGCAGUAGGGAAUCUUCGGCAAUGGACGAAAGUCUGACCGAGCAACGCCGCGUGAGUGAAGAAGGUUUUCGGAUCGUAAAGCUCUGUUGUAAGUCAAGAACGUGUGUGAGAGUGGAAAAGUUCACACAGUGGACGGUAGCUACC
rnacentral:rRNA from 1 species